rnacentral:rRNA from 1 species
UACAGAGGGUGCAAGCGUUAAUCGGAAUUACUGGGCGUAAAGCGUGCGUAGGCGGUUCGCUGUGUCCGAUGUGAAAGCCCCGGGCUUAACCUGGGAAUGGCAUUGGAAACUGGCGGGCUUGAGUGUGGCAGAGGGGGGUGGAAUUCCGGCGUGUAGCAGUGAAAUGCGUAGAGAUGCGGAGGAACACCGAUGGCGAAGGCAGCCCCCUGGGUUAACACUGACGCUCAGGCACGAAAGCGUGGGGAG